UCGGCCAUCAUGCUGGCCCCUGAGGCCGUUAGCUUAGUCAUGGCUCUAAAAGUGUACCUGCAAUCGGAUGUUGAGGAUCACCGAGCCCGCGACGUAGAAGUACGGGAAGUUCAUGCGCAGCUGCCAGGCCAGCUCGAAGAAGGCGAGCAGGGUGCGGGACAGCCCCUUGCAGAAGACGCCGUACGAGUUUCUCCAGCAUUUGGCUCAAGGUGCCAAGGGCACAUGUGACAAGAAGGUGCAGCUUUUUAAACCUUGGAACUUCUUCUGUGUCAGUUCAGAGACAUACAAUUUACUAAAACACAUCAUGAAGGCCUGUUUUGAAGAGAAGGGGAGUAAGACUACAUCUAUUCAUAUGAG
rnacentral:sRNA from 1 species